GGCUGAUGCAUUUGGCGGCUUUCUCCUCCCCGGCCGCAGCAGCAGCCGUUCCCCUCUGGAGGUUUUUCAAACCUUCACAACUGACAGGGCCCAAGUUCUCUUGCGGCCCUUUUUU
rnacentral:sRNA from 1 species